AGACGGAGGAUGCAAGUGUUAUCCGGAAUCACUGGGCGUAAAGCGUCUGUAGGUGGUUAAAUAAGUCAACUGUUAAAUCUUGAGGCUCAACCUCAAAAUCGCAGCCGAAACUAGUAAACUAGAGUAUAGUAGGGGUAAAGGGAAUUUCCAGUGGAGCGGUGAAAUGCGUAGAGAUUGGAAAGAACACCAAUGGCGAAGGCACUUUACUGGGCUAUUACUAACACUGAGAGACGAAAGCUAGGGUAGCAAAUGGGAUUAGAAACCCUAGUAGUCC
rnacentral:rRNA from 1 species